rnacentral:lncRNA from 1 species
AGACAUUUGGUUGCAAAGUGUUUUGGGCAAAACAUUGUAUUUGAUCAAAUGUAUUGCUGUUCGGUGUACUUAAUAGUGGAUGUACGAAGACACAGACGUUCUGAAGCAUAAAUAACAUCCGGGGAAACUAACAGAUGUAUAUGCAGACAGGCUAAACUAUGGAGACUUCAUCUAAAGAUGGCGACACUGUGAACUUCAAAUGCUCUGAGUCCGUGAUCACGUGUCAGAUUUGUAUGGACAUUUUCGAAAGUCCAAGAAUUCUACCGUGUCAACAUACUUUCUGUAAGAAAUGUGUCGUUUCGCUUUUAAACAAACACUGUUUAGAUCAUGAAGGAAACACUAAGAAAACCUCCUUCCCGUGUCCAAACUGUAGAAGAGAAUGUAAAAUACGUCGACGAAAAGGAAAACACAGCAUAGAAGAACACUUAAAAUGUUUCCGGAAAGUUUAUUGCUUAAAACAUUUUUAGACUCGAUUGAUGAACAUUCUAGCAGCGGAAAGGAUAAACAAUGGAGUAAAUUAGACAAUGAAAAUGAUCUUCCCGAAUUGGUUAGUAACGCAUAUGAUGCAUAUGGUGAUAGAAUGUAUAUUUCGCGGCGGGCUGCACAGGUAAUAGAGGAACGUUUAUAGGUUUUACUAUUUGUUCAUAAGCACGCUGUGCAAGUUUCUAUUUCAGCCUCAGGGUUAUUUUUUAGGUUCACUUAAUAUUAUAAGCAGAUCAAAAUUAGUAAAUCUCAUACAAGAAUUACUUAAAAUUCCAAGACUCAUAAACAAUCCAGAUUUGCAUCAGUAUUAUUUUGAUUCCUGUGACGUUGAUACAACUCUUCAAAAUAUCCGCAAAGAAGAAAGGAGUAUGAAAACAGCUAUUGGUAGGCUAAGCCAAGCUGUAAAUGUGGAUACACAGCGAACGUUCAGACAUGCGCAGACACAAACUGAAAGCAGAUUUAGCAAAUUCUUUAGACGUUAUAAGCUUAUGAAAUAUCAGUUGCAGAGAUUUAUAUCUGUUAUUCUUAUAAAAAACACAUCUUUUGUUAUCUGUUUAUUGGAGUAUCUAAUGCCACUUCCAUCUAAUUGCAAGUUAAUUGACUUUGGCCUUUCUUUGACCAUUCCCUAUAGAAAAAUAAGGUAUUGGCUGCUGUCGUUAAAAUUGUUCGACAUUUUGACUUUGAUGUACUUAUCCGGUCAUUCAUUUUACUGGUCUAUAUCACUUUUAUUUAUUUGUUAUGCACUUCUUCUGAUAUUCUUCAAACGAAUAAAAAAAUAUGUCGACAGCGGCAUUUACAUUGGUAAAAAGUUACCACUCUUUGCGACAUUUCUCAUCAGUUUAAAUUUAUUGACAAACCUGAAAAGAUGUUAUGUUUAUUGCUUCGCAAUAAUACAUGUAGAUGUUUUGAUGCUGAUUAAACUGUCCUUUUUUGAAAUUAUGCCAGAUAUAACCAUUUUUGUAUGUCAGUUAGUGUUAAUCCAUUACAGAAAAGAACAUCUGUUUUAUCAGUAUGGUCCUUGGAUAUUGUCAGUGUCAAGGACAAAUCAAUAGAAAUAAGAGGUCAAACACGAUAACGAGUUACAAGUCAUAGAAAUAUAUAUAUUUAAAGUUUAUAAAAGUUGACAUAUAAUUCUAACCUAUAUCUAUACAUUUUUAUUAAUUACAAAGAAUUCAGGAUUUAUUUUUAUGAAUAAAUUUAAUCUUAAGCAAUAAUGUAUACAGCACAUGGUAUCAUUGUAUGUCAUUUUACGAAGCGCCUUGGUUAUUAAAACUAUUUAUUUUUAACUUGAUUUAUGUUAACUGAAAAUAUUUUAUAGUUACUUGAUUUGUAAGUAAGUUUAUGUGCUUUUUGUUUAAUUUUAUAGCUUAGUUUAGUUUAUACAUGUCUAGCUCACAGGUUAUAGUUUGAUCUACUAUCGAAUACUUGUAAAACGUUUAUAUGUACUUAUACAUGCUCGUCAUGAUCUUUGAAUUAAAAAGGUCAUAUUCUUUUGGCUCUUUCGAACAUUUUGCAAACACUGUAAGCCAAUAGAGUAAAGAAGAGUAGUGUUCCGGAAUGUUUAGAACGUCGUGCGAACUGUUUUAAAUAAAACCGUGUACAGACAGAACAGUCACGUGAUAAAUAUUUACAACAAUAGAAAGCAGGUGUUUGUUCCUAUCAGCUAUGGAUAAUCUCAAAACUGCUUGGUACCAGAGCAGAACAAUGUACUAUUUUAUUCUACUUUGACAAUAAUUUGAAGAUUCCUUAAACACUGUUCUGGGAAGUCAAUGAAAUAUGACCCUAGGUUAUAUUUAAUUCGUUACUAGUAUGCGGUACAAGAUUAAAGUUUAGCAAGUUUCUGCAUUUCAAGCUGUAGCUAUCAGAAUCAGUUCCCCUUAUAGUUUAUCUUCUUUCAGAAGUUUUGAUUAUUGUUAAGAAAGGAAUAAGCUGUGUGUUAUGUGAUGGUGACAAUUCUAGACAAUGAUUGAAUACAUAAAAGAAUCUAUUUUCAUACAUUGUACUUUGCGAAUAAAAAUAAUGUCUUGUC